AUCUUCCGCAAUGGGCGCAAGCCUGACGGAGCGACGCCGCUUGGAGGAGGAAGCCCUUCGGGGUGUAAACUCCUGAACUGGGGACGAAAGCCCUGAUGAGGGGGAUGACGGUACCCAGGUAAUAGCGCCGGCCAACUCCGUGCCAGCAGCCGCGGUAAUACGGAGGGCGCGAGCGUUACCCGGAUUUACUGGGCGUAAAGGGCGUGUAGGCGGCUUGGGGCGUCCCAUGUGAAAGACCACGGCUCAACCGUGGGGGAGCGUGGGAUACGCUCAGGCUAGACGGCGGGAGGGGGUGGUGGAAUUCCCGGAGUAGCGGUGAAAUGCGCAGAUACCGGGAGGAACGCCGAUGGCGAAGGCAGCCACCUGGCUCGUUCGUGACGCUGAGGCGCGAAAGCGUGGGGAGCAAAC
rnacentral:rRNA from 1 species